GCGCCUGGGAACCCCUGGCCACAGGUUUGACAUUUUGUUCCUUUGUUUCCAAAUGCUGCUUGUUAGAAUGACGAUUUUUGUCACUUUUUUUUUUAAAAUGUCAGUCAGUCGGGUAUUGGCUUGCUCAUGAUUUUCAGCUGAAAUAUUCUUGAACUUUAUUUGUUUUAUUGGAUUUGAUUGUUAGAUUCCUUGAACUGUGCCUUUUGGGACUUCGUAUCAUGAUCUUAUGUAGAUAUUUUGUGUAACCAUACAACAUCUGUGUAAUAACCAAUGUGAUAAUUUUUCUGUAUUUCAUGUGUUUAUGAAACAAUUGUGAUUUAUGUUUGUGCCCAUUUGGUUUACAUGUCAUAUUUUAAUGAUUUUUAAUACCUUUCUUUUUUGCAGUGGCCUCGUAUAUUCCGUGUA
rnacentral:misc_RNA from 1 species